rnacentral:rRNA from 12 species
CUAAGGAAGGCAGCAGGCGCGCAACUUACCCAAUCCUGACGCAGGGAGGUAGUGACGAAACAUACCCUAGUAUAGAUCCGUGAUCUUGUAUAGGGAAUGCAUCCAAUCUAAACCGUUGGGUGAUGACCGAUUGGAGGGCAAGACUGGUGCCAGCAGCCGCGGUAAUACCAGCUCCAAUAGCAUAUAUUAGUGUUGUUGCGGUUAAAACGUCCGUAGUCGAAUUAAAGGCUCGUAACGCGUCUGACGCUAGGAGUUACUGGGGUGACCAUCCCCAAGGGGUAGCUUGUGUAGCCCUGCGGAGAUAUCGCCCCAUGUUACCUUGACGAAAUUGUGGUGUUCAUAGCAAGUACGGAGUACUCUAGGCACAAUAGCAUGGAAUAACAACGCAAGGA